AUACGUAGGGUGCAAGCGUUAAUCGGAAUUACUGGGCGUAAAGCGUGCGCAGGCGGUUUUGUAAGGCAGUGGUGAAAUCCCCGGGCCCAACCUGGGAACUGCCAUUGUUAAUGCAAGGCUGGAGUGCGGCAGAGGGGGAUGGAAUUCCGCGUGGAGCAGUGAAAUGCGUAGAUAUGCGGAGGAACACCGAUGGCGAAGGCAAUCCCCUGGGCCUGCACUGACGCUCAUGCACGAAAGCGUGGGGAGCAAACAGGAUUAGAUACCCGGGUAGUCCACGCCCUAAACGAUGUCAACUGGUUGUUUGGGAUUUAUUUUCUCAGUAACGAAGCUAACGCGUGAAGUUGAUCGCCUGGGGAGUACGGCCGCAAGGUUAAAACUCAAAUGAAUUGACGGGG
rnacentral:rRNA from 1 species